rnacentral:rRNA from 1 species
AGAGCGAACGCUGGCGGCAGGCCUAACACAUGCAAGUCGAGCGCCCGUAGCAAUACGGGAGCGGCAGACGGGAUAGUAACACGUGGGAACGCGCCCUUCGGUUCGGAAUAACUCAGGGAAACUUGAGCUAAUACCGGAUACGCCCUUACGGGGAAAGAUUAUUGCCGAAGGAACGGCCCGCGUCCGAUUAGCUAGUUGGUGAGGUAAUGGCUCACCAAGGCGACGAUCGGUAGCUGGUCUGAGAGGAUGACCAGCAUCACUGGGACUGAGACACGGCCCAGACUCCUACGGGAGGCAGCAGUGGGGAAUAUUGGACAAUGGGCGCAAGCCUGAUCCAGCCAUGCCGCGUGGAUGAUGAAGGCCUUAGGGGUUGUAAAGUCCUUUUAACGGGGAAGAUAAUGACGGUACCCGUAGAAUAAGCCCCGGCUAACUUCGCGCCAGCAGCCGC